rnacentral:rRNA from 1 species
UACGUAGGGGGCAAGCGUUAUCCGGAUUUACUGGGUGUAAAGGGGGCGCAGACGGCGAUGCAAGCCAGGAGUGAAAGCCCAGGGCCCAACCCCGGGACUGCUCUUGGAACUGCGUGGCUGGAGUGCAGGAGGGGCAGGCGGAAUUCCUGGUGUAGCGGUGAAAUGCGUAGAUAUCAGGAGGAACACCGGUGGCGAAGGCGGCCUGCUGGACUGCAACUGACGUUGAGGCCCGAAAGCGUGGGGAGCAAACAGG